rnacentral:sRNA from 1 species
GCUGGGUGCAGUGGUGCACACCUGUAAUCCCAGUGGCUCAGGAGGCUGAGAUAAGAGGAUUGCUGGGCAACUCAUUGAGACUCAACAGGGUUGGGGAUGUGGCUCAGGGCCCUGGGUUCAAUCUCUGGUACCCCCCACACCCAAAGAAACAAAACCUGUCACCAAGUGAUGCAAGCCUGUAGUCCCAGCUAUAGGAUGCUGAGAUAGAAGGGUCACAUGAGCCCAGGAGUUUCAGGGCAGCCUAGGCAAUAUAGCAAAACCCUAUCUCAA